rnacentral:rRNA from 1 species
AGUGAACGCUGGCGGUAGGCCUAACACAUGCAAGUCGAACGGCAGCACAGUAAGAGCUUGCUCUUACGGGUGGCGAGUGGCGGACGGGUGAGGAAUACAUCGGAAUCUACUUUUUCGUGGGGGAUAACGUAGGGAAACUUACGCUAAUACCGCAUACGACCUACGGGUGAAAGCAGGGGAUCUUCGGACCUUGCGCGAUUGAAUGAGCCGAUGUCGGAUUAGCUAGUUGGCGGGGUAAAGGCCCACCAAGGCGACGAUCCGUAGCUGGUCUGAGAGGAUGAUCAGCCACACUGGAACUGAGACACGGUCCAGACUCCUACGGGAGGCAGCAGUAGGGAAUAUUGGGCAAUGGGCGCAAGCCUGAUCCAGCCAUACCGCGUGGGUGAAGAAGGUCUUCGGGUUGUAAAGCCCUUUUGUUGGGAAAGAAAAGCAGCAGGUUAAUACCCCGCUGUUCUGACGGUACCCAAAGAAUAAGCACCGGCUAACUUCGUG